rnacentral:pre_miRNA from 1 species
ACCUCUUGUACCUACUGAACUGGUAUCAGUGUGCCCUCGGAGAGCUGGCUCAGUUCAGCAGGAACAGGAGU